GACGAACGCUGGCGGCGUGCUUAACACAUGCAAGUCGAACGAUGAAGAAGAGAAACGCGAACUUCGGUUCAAAUUUCACUUCGGAUUAGUGGCAGACGGGUGAGUAACGCGUGAGCAACCUACCUCUUACAAAGGGAUAGCCUCGGGAAACCGUGAUUAAUACCAUAUGACACAUUCAUAAGGCAUCUUAAGAAUGUUAAAGCUACGGCGGUAAGAGAUGGGCUCGCGUCCCAUUAGCUAGUUGGUGAGGUAACGGCCCACCAAGGCGACGAUGGGUAACCGGGCUGGGAGGGUGAACGGUCACAUUGGAACUGAGACACGGUCCAAAAUCCUACGGGAGGCAGCAGUGGGGAAUAUUGCACAAUGGAGGGAACUCUGAUGCAGCGACGCCGCGUGAGCGAUGAAGGAAUUCGUUUCGUAAAGCUCUGUUCUAUGGGAAGAAAAGGACUGUACCAUAGGAGAAAGCCCCGGCUAAAUACGUG
rnacentral:rRNA from 1 species